GCCUCUGUAGCUCAGUUGGUAGAGCAAAGGACUGAAAAUCCUUGUGUCGGUGGUUCGAUUCCACCCGGAGGCACCA
rnacentral:tRNA from 1 species